UGUGGAGGAACACCCCCGGCGAACGCGGCUUUUUUGUCUGUCACUGACGCUGACGCGCGAAAGCGUGGGGAGCAAACAGGAUUAGAUACCCUGGUAGUCCACGCCGCAAACGAUGAGUGCUAAGUGUUAGAGGGUUUCCGCCCCUUAGUGCUGCAGCUAACGCAUUAAGCACUCCGCCUGGGGAGUACGGUCGCAAGACUGAAACUCAAAGGAAUUGACGGGGGCCCGCACAAGCGGUGGAGCAUGUGGUUUAAUUCUUAGCUACGCGAAGAACCUUACCAGGUCUUGACAUCCUCGGACAACUCUAGAGACAGAGCGUUCCCCUUCGGGGGACAGAGUGACAGGUGGUGCAUGGUUGUCGUCAGCUCGUGUCGUGAGAUGUUGGGUUAAGUCCCGCAACGAGCGCAACCCUUGAUCUUAGUUGCCAGCAUUAAGUUGGAGCACUCUAAGGGUGACUGCCGGUGACAAACCGGAGGAAGGGGGGGAUGACGUCAAAUCAUCAUGCCCCUUAUG
rnacentral:rRNA from 2 species